UACGGGGGGAGCAAGCGUUGUUCGGAUUUACUGGGCGUAAAGGGCGCGUAGGCGGCCAGCACAAGUCAGUUGUGAAAUCUCCGAGCUUAACUCGGAAAGGUCAACUGAUACUGUGCGGCUAGAGUGCGGAAGGGGCAACUGGAAUUCUUGGUGUAGCGGUGAAAUGCGUAGAUAUCAAGAGGAACACCUGCGGCGAAGGCGGGUUGCUGGGCCGACACUGACGCUGAGGCGCGAAAGCGUGGGGAGCAACAGG
rnacentral:rRNA from 1 species